GAUGAAGAACGCAGCGAAGUGCGAUAAGUAGUGUGAAUUGCAGAAUUUCGUGAAUCAUCGAAUCUUUGAACGCAAAUUGCACUCUCCGGUUCUCCGGGAGAGUAUGCCUGUUUGAGGGUCAGCCUAAAUAAAUUCGGCUUCGUUGCUGUGUUCUCGCCGGUAACGUUUUAGUCGGAAUUUGGGUCAUCUUAAACCGAAAGGUUUUUAAGCGACUUAAAAUUUUUUUUACGAUCCUACGAACGUUUCUAAGAUUUUCUUACACGUUCAAGGUAUCGAAUAACCCUAUUAGACGUGGCCGUCGUAUCGGAUCGCGUCCAUAAUAUUAUUCUUUAACUGACCUCAGACAGGUAAGAGUACCCGCUGAACUUAAGCAUAUCAAUAAGCGGAGGA
rnacentral:misc_RNA from 1 species